rnacentral:tRNA from 1 species
GCGCCUAUAGCUCAAUGGAUAGGGCGUCGCACUUCGGAUGCGAAGAUUGAGGGUUCGAGUCCUUCUAGGCGUA